rnacentral:rRNA from 1 species
UACGGAGGGGGCAAGCGUUGUUCGGAUUUACUGGGCGUAAAGGGCGCGUAGGCGGCUUGGUAAGUUAUUUGUGAAAUCUCUGAGCUUAACUCAGAACGGUCAAGUAAUACUGCCGAGCUUGAGUGCAGAAGGGGCAACUGGAAUUCUUGGUGUAGCGGUGAAAUGCGUAGAUAUCAAGAGGAACACCUGUGGCGAAGGCGGGUUGCUGGGCUGACACUGACGCUGAGGCGCGAUAGCUAGGGGAGCAAACAGG